rnacentral:rRNA from 1 species
UGCCUCGGCAGGUCGCGUCUACCUCGUAGCGCCCUACCCUGUAGGGCCUACCCGGCAGACCCGGGUAAGCCUGCCGGCGGCCCACGAAACUCUGUUUAAUAUUGAAUUCUGAACCUAUAACUAAAUAAGUUAAAACUUUCAACAACGGAUCUCUUGGUUCUGGCAUCGAUGAAGAACGCAGCGAAAUGCGAUAAGUAAUGUGAAUUGCAGAAUUCAGUGAAUCAUCGAAUCUUUGUAUUCUAGUGGGCAUGCCUGUUCGAGCGUCAUUUCAACCCUUAAGCCUCUGUUGCUUAGUGUUGGGAGCCUACGGUAUAGUAGCUCCUCAAAGUUAGUGGCGGAGUCGGUUCACACUCUAGACGUAGUAGAUUCUAUCUCUAUUAGUUGGACCGGUCCCUUGCCGUAAUUUUUAAAGGUUGACCUCGGAUCAGGU